AGAAAAAAAUAGUACUGAGAUACGAGACAAUAUAAGCCCCCGAAGGCAUUAAAUGACCACCUUUCUGUAGAAAGUUUCAGUGGUGUGCACUAAAGCUUGUUCAGUAACGAAAAGCAAAAUGCUGAAUAGGUGUUGAUUUGGUAUGGAUAACACAGCUGGAAGAACUAGAAAUGUUGGGAAAAACCAAAUAUGUCAGUAAACAUUAUUGCAGUACCUAUGCACAAAGUAGGGUGAUGUUACAUAGGCAUCUUUUCUAGCAUUUCUGCAGUUUGGCAGCUUUGUUUAGUUUAACAUACUGACACUGUAUUAGAAGAAUUCUGCGUAAAUAAUGCCUUAUUUGUUUUUCUUACAGAAUUAGCUUUCUAAAUUUGUACAGUCUCAUCUGUGCCCCUACCAUAGCCCAGCCCAGUAGCUCUUCCCAGUUCCAUUUUUUUUGUUCCUUGUCAGUCCCAGUGUUUUCUCCUCCUUGGUCGCUCACUUCAGUGACCAGCACUGGGCCCUGUGGCUCAGCCAGCACUCUUUACAUAGUUUCAUAUAUUCUUUGCCAUGGUACUCAGCUCUUCAAAUUGUUAAGUUUUCUGGGUUGUUUUUUUUUUCACUGCUUUCAACCCUCCAUAAACACUGCUAUCACUCAAGGUUAAAGGUUAAUUCUCUAUCAUCUUGUUUUUAUGCAACUCGAACAUAACUGGCAGGCAGAGUUUCUACUAAGCUAGAAAAAAAUCCCUUCCAUUUGACAUCAAAAUACAGUCUCAACCUAAGAUCCCAUCACUGAAAAUGGAAAACUGUCAUUCAAGCCACUGUGCUGAAAACAAGCCUGAACACGUGACUGAGGAGAGGUCACACAGUCGAUGCACGGGGCACAUUGCAUUUGCAUUGAACGUCGGUACAAAGCCAUGCCAUGCUCUCAUCAAACGACAAGAAGGGACAUCAAAAUGGACUAGCUGUACUCUGCUAGUGUACAACUGAAUUGGCAGCCUCUGUCAGUUCACUGGUCUUUAAUUCUCACCUCUAGAAGGUAUAUUUGAUAGAUCUCAGUCCGCGGCUCUCACAGAUUAGAAGUGUCAGAGAAGUUACAACUUCAUGUGCUAUUUUUGCCUUUAUUUCCUAAUGCUAAAGGCUGCCACAGUAAGGCAGAUAAUUCCAGAGCUGAUAAUUUGGUUCAGCAUUUCAUUUCUGCUGACAGAUAUUGCUGCAGAAAGGCAGAGGAAGCUAGAAAUGCCAAUGAAGGGACUUUCUAUCUCAUGGCACAGUGUGAAAAAAGCUUUGUGAGGAUGAGAUAUCCACGUAUAUUCAAAGUAGAAAACAAGAAAUCCCUGGUGUCCUUGGCACAUUAGAAAACAGCACCAACAAAAACAAUCCUUGUUUUUCAGCUAUCUGCUCAUUGGUAUGGAAUUCUUCAAAAAUAAAUGCACUUUUUCAAACAAUACAAAUCAAAUUUGUUUAAACCACAGGCCACUGUGUGGUGACGUUCCCGUGGAACCCAACACAGCACUGAGUGGAAGUUUGGGCUUUAUUACCUCCACUGCUGCUUUCACUAACAAACCAAACACAGCAACACAUCACUGCCUAUCAGGGCAAGCCAGAAGGCAGAAAAGAAUCAGUUAAAAAUUUCCUGCUAUAAUCUCUAUCAGCAUAAUUAAUAUCAUUUGGCAUAAUCACAGCCUAAUUUAUCAUUAUCAGAUGACUCUUCAGUUUACAAUUUCAUAACUCCCUCAAAGCAAGCACAAGUGUCUCUUCAGGGGAAGAGCAAACGAGAAACUGCAAGAAACCAUUUCUCCAGAAUCAAGCUUGAUUUAUUUCUUUACUGUAGAAUUCACAUUAAUUAGAUUUCCUAACUUGGUUCCAUUUCUCUUUUCAAACGCAGUUUUUGUUCAUUCUAUUAAAGAAAAAGGCCGAUUAGGAAGGAAAGAAGCACGUGCUGCUGCCCAUCAUUUCACUGCUGACAAGAUGCAUCACAUUCAGUACCUGUGUCACUCCUAUGAAAUCAAACAACUCACUACCUUACUGGAACUGCAGCAAAAUUAAAAGGCCUCCAUUGUAAAAGUGAGAGAUUACUGGGUUGCUGCACCAGGGAACUUUUAGGAGCUGAGGCAAUUCUGAAUGAAGAUAUUUAUCUAGAAGAGAACUAUCUGUGCAAUAUCAAGUGUACAGCAAUGCUAGAGAGAGGCACAACAGCCCAUUUGCUUCACUGAGAUUUGUUUGUAAAUACUGAAUGGCACGAUAAGAAAUCUCAAGCCAAAUUGCAGGUGACAACAAUCUGGGGGAAGUGUGGAUCUGCCUAGAGGGAGGAAGACCUUACAGAGGGAACUGAACAAGUUGGAUUGAUGGGCUGAAGCCAAUGGGAUGAAGUUCAACAAGAUUAAGCUGUGACAGAAAUAGUCCUCCACAUAUAAUUGGGAUGAGACUUUGAGUAAAGAACUGGAUGGAUUGCAUCUCAUUGAUUUUACUCCUCAAGCAAUUAGAGCAUUGCUCCCACAAUCCCAAAUUGUCCCCAAACUGCAGUUAGAUGCAGUUCUUGAUACAUGAGACACCAUAUUUUUCUUCCAAUUUUUGUCAUCUCAAAGAAAGAAGAAAGAAAAAGAGGUUAUGUUUUAUCAGAGGCCAACUGUCUUGGGAAACAAGAGAAGGAGAAAAAGGUAGAGAAGCAUUCUAGCUACUGCUUUUGUCUCCUUUUUUCUAUGUUGUAAGGGAGAAGGCCUGAGAAAUAAACAAGUGCUCCUGCACUCAUCCUGUUGUAAGCCUUUGUACAGCUGAAUUAAAAUUCUAGAUCAUACUAAGGCAAAACACUACCCAGUAAUUUUUGCUUAAAAUUGACACAAAAAAUGUACAUUUUGUCUUCCCAAUAAAUAUAGCGUUCUUAAUUUCAGAAAAAAUAAGAAUCCAGCAUAAUUGCACUGGAAGUAUGCACUAGAUUAUUCACGUUUUUUUGUAAAAAGCACAACCUUGCUUAUCUACUUCAGCUACAGAUGCUUAAUAAACUUUUUCAGAAUAAUUAUGUCAGUUCUGUCAUUUCACACAGCUAAUCUGACUGUUGUUUUGAAUGAAUUAUUAAUGGAAUAAAUGAAUUAAGCAACUUAUUUGUAAUUAUUUAAAUGUAACUGAUAAUUCAUAAUUGCUAGAGCUCUUUCGUACUUUAGAAAUUAAUAUUACCAUAUUUUUGCCCUCUUGCACAAUUUAUUUAAUAUCUCAAAGCACUGAAUAAAAACCAAGCCCCUUAGAUAGAAUAAGUCACUGCUUGUGUCCUAGCAGUGCUGGGACAGUUUAUCUGUUUUCCUGACAAGCUUCGAUUACGCAGAUAUAAUCAGCAAUUUCUAACUUACAGCUCCAAAGGAGAAGAGUAUUGAGAGAGUAAAAGACCACCGACAGAGAAUAUUGGGGUUUGUCUAAGAAAGAUAGGAGGCAACUUUCCUAGCUGCUCAAUUUUUGCAAGCACACUUCCUUGCUGUCCACCUUGGACCGCCUCCCAUCCCUUCAGGGAGGUGGCUGCUGGCCUGGGAUGCUGGAACAGAAAGUUGGGGCCAUCCCUACUUUGUGGCUGCUCACAUUCACACCUCCCUGUUGUUGCCAGCCAAAUUCCGUGGGAUAUCAUCAGCCUCCAUCUCCUCACGGAUCCCUGAUUUCCAGGAUCUUCUACUUCUAGGAUCCUUUCUCCAGCCAAGAACUUAACCUUAUUUUCAGGCUUACUUCUUUUUUUUUCCCCAAGAAUGUUUCUUCCCAGCACCCCUACCUUUUCUGGCAUGCCAAGACACUUUUUUCCUCAGUCUAAACAGUUUGUGUGUUGAAGUGCAACACAGGAGCAACGUCCCAGCUGAUGGUCCUGACCUCAGUCUUGUCAGUAACUGGAGGACUCUGGAUAUGUCACACUUGUUUAGUGGUCCAGGUGUUCACAACCAGUCUACCAGUUACAGGGAAGGAACAGGCAGCAGCCCUGUUGAGAGCUCAGAAGUUCAGAUGUGGACAUUAACUGCACACAGACGCUUGGAUUACCUGCCACUUGUUAGAAGUCACAACUUCAGCCUACAGCAUGAGUAGUUAAUAUUAACCUGAUUCCACUUCCAGGAAGACAACCGGAUUAAUUUUUACUCAUUUCAAUAAUUUUUCAUAAUACAUUUUCCAAGGACUGAUUAUCACAUACAAACAUGUUUUUCUGAAAUGGUUCAGCUAACCCAUUACAGUUGUUUGGCCACUGGAUUCAGCUACUCAUGUGUGAAUAAUAAAACUUUUCCAAAAAUGCUGUUAGCAUGAAGAGCUUCCAAAGUGUAUGUUGAGCUGAUUAACAGUUCUGUUUGUAUUACAAACAUGGUCCUUUUGAGAAUUAAGGAGCAAAAAGCAUUUUCAGGUUUCACUAAAAUUAUUUGAGGAAGCCAUGGAAAAAAUGAAACAUGGCAUUUUUUGUUAGCUCUUGUUCUGCACUGCUAUUAUGGAUGAUAAUUUAUUAAUUAAUUACAUUAAUAAGCUACCUGGUUGAGUAACCAUAAAGUAGAAUAUGGCAUCAUUUUUAUUGUUACUAGUGCAAAUCACAGGCAGCAGCUGAUGGAGUAAAUCUGUGCAAUUUUAACUCUUCUUAACCAGACAUUUUAGCAGAGAUGUACACAUUUUGCUGACUAACAGUAGACUUCUGUGUGUCACUGCCUUAAGUACAUCUUAAAUAAGAGCCUGGCAACACUGGGAAGAUGCUUCACCAAUUGCAGCAAUUAACAAAUAUGUCAGUGAAGCAGAAGAUGGAAGUUGUACAGAUGACUACAUAGAUCUCUCAUGAGAUACAAAGUUCAAAAUGUAAUUUAAGAUUUUUUCUUUUCAAUCUACCUAUUCUAGUGUCCCUACUAAAUCACAUUUUAAAGGGCAAAUGACACCAGAAAGAAUGAGUGACUGCCUUUAUAUAAUUUCUUCCAUGUAUACCAGCUUGAUGAAAGAGUAGUUUGUAAUCUUUGCACCAUUUUAUCAGUUUAAAAAAUGUACAAGGAAGAAUCUAGAUCAGUGAAAAGACUAUUUUACUGCUACAGUUCCAAAAGGAGAUUGGAAAACUUUCAAAGAAGCCAUCAUUAGUAGCGUAACAGUUUAUAUCCCUGUUCAGAAAGAAUGGUUCAGUAGAGCAAAAUUUAAAAGAAAACAACAAAAAAUGCAGAAAAAGCUACUGGACAAAAUCACAAACUCAGUGUUUGAAAAGCAUUUUCACCAGCUCAAAGGACUGUGGAAGGUAUAUUUUCCAGUCAAACAGAACACUACAAUUAAGAAAACAGUAACAGGAGCUUACUUAAGACACUAAUUUUACAUCGCUUUUAAUGUUUUAGUUAAGCACGUAAAUGAUGGUACAAACCAGAGCCUGAACAAGAAGAAGAGGCAGAGACUUUCUCAGCCCCUGGCUCCCAGUCCUCACCCACCAGUUCCCAUUGCAGACCUCCACACUGCACCCGCAGACUUUGUCUUUUGACUGAAACUCAUUUCUCAGUCUCAGCUCCCAGCCUCUUGUCCCUGUUCUGCUCAACAGCCCUCACUUGUAUUUUCCUAGCACAUCACCAUACAAUUUCUCACCUCCUAACUGAUUUUGCAAUUCUCUCAAUACCUGUACUCUCCCAUCUUUUCAGCAAACCUGUCCUGCAGUUUAAUCUGCCUGGCUUCCUCACAUAGCUAAUUUCAGUUUUCCCUGGGAUCAUUGUUAUUCAGCAUCUUCCUUCCUUCCUUCCUACACCUCCCCAGUCUCAUUAUCUUGCGGUGACAGUCUCCUGCAGGUUCCUCAGCCCCCUCCAUAGUCAGCUUUCUGUCUUGCUGGUGGUUUUUCAGAGCAUCCAGACCAAACCCAUGUCCCUUUGGGGACCCUUUAGGUUACUUGACCAGAGCAUCCAGACCAGUCCAGCCAGCCACUUACCUUCUCCUUUCUGGUCUAAUCUCCUCCCAUUACACCUCUGCAUCUCAGUGGUACUCCAGAACUCUUUCGGUCUAUCGGUGUCCCCAAGCUGAGGUAUGUAACCACACAGAAGCUCAGGGAAUGAAGUGAGACAGACAGGAAAGGACUUCCUGAAGAAUUACUGUUAGGCAUCGACAAAUGGCAAACUUGCAGUAGAUUAUGUGAUUGAGGAGUGCUUGGCAUAUAUUGUUAACAGCAGUAAAAGAUAUAUCCCUGACAAAAUCUAGACCUGAACAAAGAACAGAUCAAAACAUUCCAUUUUGAAUAAGAAAAUGUUCAUUUUUGUAAAUUCCUUUUUUCAGAAAGGCUAAACACUGUUUUUCACUUGCCUGCAGGGUUUUGACUUCAGACAAAAGCAGAAGCUGGCAUAGAUGAUUUCAGCCAAAAUGAUUACAGUUUUGGGAAACUUGCAAUCCACUUGAAACACAAUUUUACACAGAAAUAUAUAGUAUAGUCUGUGCUGUCAGUUUUGUUGGCAGUGUUAAAGCUCAGAUUCAGGUAAGCUUAAAAUGGCAAAAGCACAAGGAUAUAUGCAACUAUAAAUGUUAUUCCAUAAGUGAUGUAUACAUAGUAUAUGAAAGUCUCUCUUCCUGAAGCAGAAACACUGCUUUUAAAGGAAAUACUAGCACUGCUUCUUGUCAGAAACAGAAAGUCAGGAAAAUAGCAACAAAACUUAGCCAGCCUCAUAUGAGAUUGAUUUCUAGCAUCAAGCUUAUAAAUGCAGAGAAGAAUUCUCCACAACUGUUGUAAAAGGAAAUCUGACACCUUUGUACAUGUAAAUCCUGCUGCUGGUUUCAGAGAGGUUGGAAGUUAAAUAAUUGUUUCAGCUUUAGAUUCAGAUUCACAAGAAAAGUAUAAUGCUGUAACAGAUAGGGACAGAACUACAAUACAAUCAAGUUAUAUCUACCACAGCAACCUUGCAUAAAUAUUCUGUUGUGCUGAGAUGUGUGACAUACAGUACAGAGCAUUUAACGAGUGUUUCUUCACUUCCAGCACCCUAGCAAGCAAGAGGUAAGAAGGGUAAAGAUUCUGGGACUGCAGCCCAAUAUACUUGCCAGUGUACAAAACUUGCUCAAGCUCAGAAGGAUGUGAAGCUGUCAGGCUCCAUUCUGAGUUCUGCUGCAGAUUACCUUUGCAACCCCUAGCUUGUAAACUCGAUCUGAAUACAAAUACAAUCACACAAGCUGCCUGAGCACAUGGUGCUUCCAGGGAAAAACAUUUGCCGAAGGAAGGAGAUGCGGAGAUAUUAUGGAUUACAAUCCUGAUGGCACAAAAAUAUUAACCCACAGCUCCUGUUUGAGUUACUCAGAUCUUCAAAUAGUUACUCUCCUCUAUGACAAAAAUAAAUAAAUAAACAAAAUUCAAGCUAGACCAGUUUCUUUGCUGCAGUUUCACAUAUGUAAUUCUGCAAUAAACACCACCUCCUUCCAUACUGAAGACAAGACUAUUGGUGUUUGAAAUGAGCAGGAUGCAGCAGUGAGAAAAUCUGUAAAUAACUACCAAGGUAAAGACAGAAAUACUUGGAAAAAAAUUUUGAUUUCUUGGAGAAAGAAGUAUGUCAUAUGCAGAUUGUAAAUGUCAUGUUAAAAGGGCUAGCUCACCACAUUGUUAGUAUCCUACAGAGUUCUGAGAAUAUGCUCCUUUGUGUAAAGUCUGUACAUAUGGAAAUCUGUAUUCUUCUCUUGAUUUUUACUUGAACUUGACUUGUACACCUGGAAAAACAAAUCUAAAUGUACAGUCUGAAUAAACUCAAUGAGCAGCCUACCUUGCAGUUUCAUGGUUGCAUUGUGUUUCUGUUAUUUUUUCCACUACGGCUUUCCCUUAGAACUGGCCUGUCCCUAAUUCAGACUCAGUCACUGAAGUUAUAUUCUGCUGCUAUUCACUUACCAACACAUACCCUGUAACUAAUUACCAAUGACACCUUUUAAACUCCAAACCAAAUGCAGAGGCUUGCAUCUUUUUUUUGUUAAUUACAGCAAGAUGAACUCAAAAACUUCACUUGGUUGUUGAGCAUUGCACCAGCCUCAUGCCUAAUAGAAAAUGCAUUUGCACAAGUCAGGUGAGCAAAGCUAACAGCCACCUACUUGUAUUUGGUACAAUAUGAAAAGUGAGCAUCUUCAGCACUACCACUGCAGCAGUGGAGCAGGUGCUACUAAAUGAAUUGUGCAGUGCAGUGGCCUGAAUGUAUGCAAAGUCUGAGUAGGGAGAAAGCAGUAAAUUAUGCAUAUAGAAAAUACAAGGGGAGGCAUUCAAAAAAGAUCUGACAACUGUGCACUACUAAAAUCUUAAGCUUUUCAUUGCAUUUUAGAUAUUACAAGAUGUGAGUCUGAAUGCACUCAAAUAAUUUCAACUUAAACUGUGCCGCUGAACAGAGCUGCUGCUAGUGACACUGGGACUGACUCACAUGGAAUGUUUUGUUUGAGAAGACGACUGCUGUGCUUGACUGGCCGAAGUACCAUAUGCUUCUAGAAUAGCACAGACCUACUUUAUCCUGCGAUUUGCUGUCAGGGUCUAGGGAAACUCACCCAGGUGGUUUGCUGAUUCAAUAUCCACAGUUGUGUUGCUCUGUAAGUCGGAUGAGUUUUUAAAGAGACCAUAUGUGAGUAAUCAACAGCCCAGUCUGCCUUUUCACAGCCCCUUCCUUGUAGGUAAAGCCAGGAUGGAACAGUAAAUAUGUAGUGACAUCUUCAGAGAGUUCCCUGCUUUCACUGCAGAAAUGCAGGAGUUCUACCCUGCUGCCAACAGCAUGAGUACGUGAUACUCCCUGAGACUCUAUUUCCCAGUUAUACCUGGUGUGUACUCUUUGAGGCUGCUUGAAGAAAAGGAAAGUGGGGCCUGAUCCCUGUGACAUAGCUACAUGAAGACUCUGAUAAUGAAAACCAGUGGAGCUGAGUCUCCCUAGUGAUGACUUGGCUCAUUGUCACACCGGGCCCUAUGCACAUGCCAGAACGUUCUCCUUGAGGAAAGCACUCAUAAUAAAAUGGAAGAACUCUGUUCUUGUUUUGCCUCCUAAGUGGAAAGCUCAAGACAGAUUAUUAUUUUAUGACUGCAUAUCAGAUCUUUUUGACAGUUAUUCUGAUGUAUUAAACUAUAACUCUGGGGUAAGGAAAUUGGAUAUUCAUACCUGAUGUCAACAGAAGCCAAGCAUCGUAUGCCCUUAGGCUCUUCUGAAAAAAAACCUAGCAUACAUUUCUCAGCUAAUUGAAAGCAUAUUUUCUUUAACAACAUCUUGCAAGAAGUACUUAUUUUUUCUCUGUGCAAAUAUUCCUCUGGGCUUUUGUCUUAUCACCACAUAUAAAAAUAUACUGGUAUAUGACGGUAAGACCAACAAAAUUUCCAAACAUAUGAAAAAAAGACAAUAAAAUUAACAAUGAGGAAUCAUAUUCAAAAUACUAAAAUAGCAUCCAGUUUAAAGUAGGUAUGUUAUAUGAGCAAAGAUUUACUUCACUCUGAGAAGACUGAUCCUGUAAGAAAAUCUUAAAAGCUUCAUACCGAACACACCUUCUUUACAAAAUUCUUACAGUUAUCAAAAUCAUGAGUGUUUUUUUUAUGUUCCUGCUCACAUUAAGAAAAUACUUUUAAAAUAGAAAUUAAUAACAAUCAACCUAAAAUGCUUCCUUUUCUCUCUGUUGUGCCACACAAAAGUACAGGUUCUACUCCGUAAAUAUAACCGAUUACGAUUUCACAGGGUCAUUUAUGCUCCAUUACACUACUACAGUCUUUUACGUUCCUGAGAAUUCCUGAGGGGGAAAAAAAAAGCUACAGAUACCAACAAAAAGACAAAUGACAUUACUGAUUAAUUAUUUCUUCAUAGCAGCAGAUUGUAGUACCUGGUGGUUGCUGAGGCUUAUUCUUUAUUUUUAAUUGGUAAACCAGAAAUUACAACCUUCAAACAACAUCAUCAUCACAGAAAUCAGUAAAAGGCAAUCCCUUUAAAAAACGAACAAAGAAACAACAACAACCAAUUUCAAAGCAUAACUGUUGAGGAUAGAUGUUUUGAUUCAGAGAAUUACUGUUUAUAGUAGUACAUUUUUGUCAAUGCAGAAGUCAUCAAAACUGUAGCAGCCCUGUGCCAGCAAAUCAGAAACAGAAAGCAAUACAUCUCCACUUGUUGGCCUCAACAAUAUUAUAUGCUCAAAGGCUGCAGGGUUACUUUUUCCA